GAUGAACGCUAGCGGCAGGCUUAACACAUGCAAGUCGAGGGGUAGAGGCUUUCGGGCCUUGAGACCGGCGCACGGGUGCGUAACGCGUAUGCAAUCUGCCUUGUACUGGGGGAUAGCCCAGAGAAAUUUGGAUUAAUACCCGAUAGUAUUCUCGGUUGGCAUCAACUGAUUAUUAAAGUUUUUCGGUACAAGAUGAGCAUGCGUCCCAUUAGGUAGUUGGUAUGGUAACGGCAUACCAAGGAUACGAUUGGUAGGGGUCCAGAGAGGGCGAUCCACCUCACUGGUACUGAGAGACGGACCAGACUCGGACGGGAGGCAGCGGUGAGGAAUAAUGGUGAAUGGUCGCAAGGCUGAACCAGCCAUGCCGCAUGCAGGAUGAAGCAUCUAUGGUAUGUAAACUGCUUUUGUACGGGAAGAAACACUCCUACGUGUAGGGGCUUGACGGUACCGUAAGAAUAAGGAUCGGCUAACUCCGUGCCAGCAGCCGCUGUAAAAC
rnacentral:rRNA from 1 species